rnacentral:rRNA from 1 species
CAUGCAGGCGGUUAUACAAGUAGGAUGUGAAAGCCUGGGGCUCAACCUCAGAACUGCAUUCUAAACUGUGUGACUAGAGUAUUGCAGGGGGAAACGGAAUUUCAGGUGUAGCGGUGGAAUGCGUAGAUAUCUGAAAGAACACCAAAGGCGAAGGCAGUCUCCUGGGCAAAUACUGACGCUCAUAUGCGAAAGCGUGGUAGCAAACA